GCGAGGGAUGAUUUUUCAAAUUGUUUAAUCAUUUACUAUGUUAUAUGUAUGUAUGAUCAAUUGAAUAUAGAAAUUACUCAUCUUGAAAUAACUUUUUACUAAGCAGGUUUAUAUCUAUAAAAGGCCAGCAUUAACCAAAUCAAAUUUUAUAAUUUGUAAUUCCUUAAUAUUUAUUAAAAGCAAUAAAUGCACAAAACUUUGUAUGAAAAUAACAAGGCUACUGAUAUCAUUGAGAGAGAAGGAUUCUCUUAAAGGACUGUAUGUCCUCUAUUUUUAUGCUACGACUUAUGACCCAUUUAAAAGUUAAUUUAGGUCUAGAUUAGAUACCAGAAGACCCUUCUAAGUAAUUCAUACUUGAGAUCUGGGACCAUGUCUCAUUUGUCUUUGUGUCCUUGGCAUGUAACACAAGUACGUAG